CGGAUGGACGUGUUUUCCCGUGGGGCUCGGGGGGCGGAGCGGGGACAAGCCAGCUUUCCCCCUGCCUGGGGAAGGGGACGUUUCCAGCUGCUGAGCCCCCAGUGGAUGGAAAUAUUAUUCCGUUAAGCGGCUCCGAGCGGUGUCACCAUUGCCAUGGCUCCGUGGAUCCUAACCUCAGGUUUUCCCCCCCUGGCUGGAAACUUUCUGGGGAGCUCUGGGUGAUCCUGGAGAGUUUGCAGGAAAACAUGUUGCUGGAGCCCGAGCCAGUGAGCGCUCUCCAUCUCCUGGUGCAGCUGGCUCGGAUCCCUGCAGAGCAGGGCCGCGCCCAGGGCCGCUCGGGCACCCUUUGGAAGGCAUUCCCGGGGAGGAAAUUGAUCGGGAAGUCAGGAGCGGCUUCAGCUCGGGGCUGGGAACCCUUGGGAGAGCUCUGGCCACAAUUAAGUGCCUAAUGAGGAGAGAGCAGUGAUUUCCCAAGUGCAGAGCCACAGAUGGGAAGGGAAGGCGUCUCUGUGGCAAUUCAGAUCCGUCCUGCUCAGAGCUUGGGAAUGGCCUCGUGGAGUGACUUCUGUUGCACCGUGGAUGCUGGGAAUUGUCAGGAACACAAACCUCGGUUCCUCAGGCGCCGCUCAAGGAGUGCUGGCUGGAGACCCCACGCGAGUGUUCCAAGGACAAGAGGCUUUCCAGGCAGUUUUCUGGAUGCAGAGCCGCCUGAGGAAGGUGCCGGGGGAUCCGGGAGAAAACCCCCACAUUUUCCAAAGUCAGAGUCUCCCAAAGGCAAACGAGAAACCCUCAAGAGAACCAAACUACAAAAAGCUGGGGAUGUUUCCAGUGCCUGUUCUCCCGGUAAUGCGGAGUUUUAAGUGGCCUCGCUUGAGAGGCAUCGAUCUCUGUGCUGCCUGAACCCCUCAGCAAACAGCUGCCACCCCAAGUCACCGCUAACACCGGCACCGAAUUCCCUUUUGUCCGGGGUUCUCAUCCAGCUGUUCCCUAACUCUGAGAGGGACGUGGAAGGCGAGUCCUGCCUUCAUCCCUCGCUCCCGCGGGCCAGGAGGCAGUUCUGCCCUUUAAGGCCUUUGGGUAUUUGGUGUGUUUAGGACUUGCAGGAGGGGUUUCCAUCCUGGCUGCGGUGUGGCGGGAGGAGCUGGGUAAGAUGCCUGGCACCGCCAGCACUUCCCACAGGUGUGGAAAUCCACGGAUCUAGCACAGACGAGAGCACACGGAUUGGGACGGUCCCGAUGGACGAGCACCCGCGGGGCCGCGGAUCCGUGAGGGUGGAGAGGGCAGCAGGGAAUUCCCGACACCGUCCCCUGGGAGGAGCUGAGGCGGCACGAGGGAGGGCUGGGGUGGUGGCCCCUGCGUCUGGGGGUUACGUCCGAAAUCACUGCCGAGCCCUUCCCUUCCUCACCUGUGACGGGGCUGGUGCGCAGCCAGGGCCUCUCUGCCUGCUGGGGGAGUCCCAAACCCCUCUGGAUGCACGCAGGGCAGCAUCUCCUGCCUUAGGGCAGAGCAAGGCCAGCUUAGGAGCCACUGGGUUAGUCCUGGGAUCCUCCAUGGGCCGUGCCCCGCACCUGCCUCAGCCACGGGGCCCCGAACCCCUUUAGCUGGGUUGCAGUGGGAUUUUGGGAACACGCCUGGGGAAAGAACCUCAGGGGUCGCCUCCCCGCAGCUCUGUCUGAAAUGGUUCAGGCUGAUCCCUGCCAGGCCCUCGGAAUUCAUCACAUUCCUGCUCCAAAGGGGAGGAGCAGGAUGAGCAGAACCCUGGGCCUGGGCUGCUGCAGCCCCGGGGAGCGCCUGCCCUCCGCAGGGGCUGCACGAGCGAGGGUUGGGAGCUUGGGUUACCUGUGGUGCCCAGAGCUCCCCCGUGGUGUGGCAGAGGACGGAGACGCAUCCCGAAGAUAUGAGGGGUUUAAGGCCAUUUGCACCGAAAGUUCACCACUCGGUCUGAUUUUGGGUUAUCCUGAGUGGUGCUUUAUCCCCUUGAGGAGUCAGUGACUUUUUGUGGGAGAACUCUGACUGAAGAGGGGGGAAAUAAUGACGGGAUAACAGCCGGGAAGUUCCACGAUGGGGGGAAAUCUUCCAGGGACUUUUGUUUUUGGACUCUGGCACAACCAGAGAUGAACUCUUUUCCUCCAGGCCCCUCUCCCCUGCAGGGUGUGUGCGUGGGGCGGGAGGAGCAGCUCCAUCCCUGCACGUCCAGAGACACAACCACUUCUUAGAGCUGUUUUAUUUUCCCUGGAGCUGUUGAGCCUGCUUGGACAGACCCGACAGAGCGAUUCGACACAAUUUAUUUCUUGUGGUUUUUAUCUCGUGGAGAACUUUCCCCCCGGACUGGGGCUAAAUCCCACGGAACGCAGCAGAUCCCGAGGCGGGAGCAAGGCACUCUGCUUGUCCAAGCGAACCUGGAGCUACUCCAGGCAGGUUGGUCUGAGCUCCAGGAUUUUUCCAGCAGAUCUGGGAUGUUUCAUACCAAGAGCACGGACGCCACUCCCCCGUGGUUAAAUCCCAAAUACACCCGUGGAACUCGGGGGCACUGCAGGAACCCCACUCAAACUGCCCAAAGCUUUGUACGACCCAAUAAAAUACGUUCAGAUUUUGAUUUUUGUGGCUGGUGAGACUUGCGGGGCCUGCGGGGUUCUCUGAGCCUGCUGGCUGUUUAAAUUUCGGGGAGGGAGAGGAGGUGGCGACAACCUGCACCAGCCACGGGCAGGAGAGGGAAAGAGGCAAAGAGGGAGAGAGGGAGAGGGGAACGGAGGGAGGCUGCUGCCUGCAGGGGCCGCGGGGGAGCUCAAGGGAGGGGUCUCUCCCGCGUCUCUCUCACCGGAGAGUUCCCGAUUCUCUACGUAAUUAACCGCUCAUUACCGGUACCGUGCGAAAUGCCGCAAAUUCGCCAGCACCGAGUUAAACCCAAAAUUCCCUGAGGCGUCCCCUGGUGAGGGAGAAGCACAGGUACCCCGUGCCGUGCCCAGGUGCCUCGUUCCCUCUGGGUGUGCAGGCUGCACCGUCCCCAGUGUCCCCAGUGUCCCCAGUGUCCCCGGUGUCCCCGGUGUCCCCGGUGUCCCCAGUGCAGGGAGGCAGCUGCCACCGCCCCUACGGCUCCCUGUGGGGCGGGAGCGCCGGGAAGAGGCCGUGGCUGCGCUGCCCCAUCCUCUCCAGCCCUCCGGAAUCCCACGCUGUCCUCGCCGUCGGUUUGGUUGUUCUCCCGGUGUGGAAAAGACAACUGAGCACCAAACCCUGCCCGGGCUCUGGGGACGCCCUGUUUGCCCCAAAGGCGGGGUCCUGGGGCUUGGGGGGCUGCCGGGG
ensembl:lncRNA